UGGGGAAUAUUGCACAAUGGGCGAAAGACCUGAUGCAGCGACGCCGCGUGAACGAAGAAGUAUUUCGGUAUGUAAAGUUCUAUCAGCAGGGAAGAAGAAAUGACGGUACCUGACUAAGAAGCUCCGGCUAAAUACGUGCCAGCAGCCGCGGUAAUACGUAUGGAGCAAGCGUUAUCCGGAUUUACUGGGUGUAAAGGGAGCGUAGGCGGUCUUAUAAGUCUGAUGUGAAAGCCCGGGGCUCAACCCCGGGACUGCAUUGGAAACUGUAGGACUAGAGUGUCGGAGAGGAAAGUGGAAUUCCUAGUGUAGCGGUGAAAUGCGUAGAGAUUAGGAAGAACACCGGUGGCGAAGGCGACUUUCUGGACGACAACUGACGCUGAGGCGCGAAAGCGUGGGGAGCAAACAGGAUUAGAUACCCUGGUAGU
rnacentral:rRNA from 1 species